AUGAACGCUAGCGGCAGGCUUAACACAUGCAAGUCGAGGGGUAGAAGCAGCUUGCUGCUUUGAGACCGGCGCACGGGUGCGUAACGCGUAUGCAAUCUACCUUUUACAGAGGGAUAGCCCAGAGAAAUUUGGAUUAAUACCUCAUAGUAUGUGAGAAUCGCAUGGUUUUCACAUUAAAGUUCCACGGUAAAAGAUGAGCAUGCGUCCCAUUAGCUAGAUGGUAAGGUAACGGCUUACCAUGGCGACGAUGGGUAGGGGUCCUGAGAGGAUGAUCCGCCACACUGGAACUGAGACACGGUCCAGACUCCUACGGGAGGCAGCAGUGGGGAAUUUUGGACAAUGGGCGCAAGCCUGAUCCAGCCAUGCCGCGUGAGUGAAGAAGGCCUUCGGGUUGUAAAGCUCUUUCGGCCGGGAAGAAAUCGCAUGGGUUAAUACCCUGUGUGGAUGACGGUACCGGAAUAAGAAGCACCGGCUAACUACGUG
rnacentral:rRNA from 1 species